ensembl:lncRNA
GAAUCUGCCACUAUUGAAAUGAGUUAACUUGCAUUUAUUCCAAAUAACCUCGUUUACUCAACUGUAUGCGAAUUGUAUAAGGUUUCUCAUGCCCAAGCUUAAAAAGUGAUUCCCAGUAGACGAGGUGGCUGCCCGUCCUAAAGUUGUGGUAUUUAUUUGUGCAGAAAGAUCUUCCCAGAAUUCUUUGCUUGCCGCUGAUCCAACACCGUGGCAGCCGCGAGCGGAGCCGGGAGGCGGAGGUGGCUGGUGCAGGACGGUGGCUGCGGGAGGUGGUGACACCGUCGCCAAGUCGAGCAGAGACUGGGUGACGGCACCGUCUGUGGGAUUUUGCCCUUGGUUUACUGGUUUUACUCAAUCUGUAUGCAUGGACUCUAACCCUCUGCCACACGUGCGUCCACCGACGGGCAUUACUACCGUGUCCUAUGUAGGGUCAGCUGCGUCCCGCAACACGCAGAAUGCUGUGUUUAGCCUUGUUUUUCCAGAGUUGUGUUUUUUCAGUCAUUUCUUCAAGGGAAACUAAAUGAUUUAGCUGGAGCAAAGCUUUAAGUGUGUCAGUGUGCCUCUGUGUGGCUGUGCUCUGUUGCCAAGUCUGCAAAUCAUGGUGAGACCCAGAGGCCCCCGGGACCCGCUGCCCGAGGCCACGUGGUUUGCCCUGCUUACUCUUUGAGUUUUUAGGCUCCAGAGGGAGGUAAUUUUUCUAAGCUGGGGUUGUGGGGUGGAGGGUGGGCACUGGCUCUCCCUCCCCUGGAACUGCCCCCUCCUGGCACCUGCACGCCCCGGCCACCGGGCCCAGGCGCCCGCUGCCCGGCCCCGCCCCGGUCUGGGGGUGGUGGGGCGUGGAUCGGGGUGCUUGUCCCCAGGCCCCCCGCGGUGCAGCUGCAGUCGGAGCCCUCUUCAGGAAAAGGGAGGAGAGGGGUCUGUCUCGCAGGCUGCCGGCCCUCCCUGUGCGUGACGCCCGUUAUCGGAAUGGUUGUGUGUUCGGUGUAACCGCCCAUUGUUUCCACGCUGAAAGGGUUUUAACGAAGGGAAAGAAACCACAGCAAUAACACUCAUCCACGGAGCAGCUAACUCAGAACAUUCUGCUUUUCCUGCAGAAGCAGCCGGUGUGAUAAAGCCCGGCGUGUAAAUAGCUUUCCUUUUACACUCGUGUGUCAUGCGUGUGUAUGGUGGUUCCUUUUCAGGUCUCCCUUCUUACCUGGUAGCUGUCCUGUUUUCCGGGCUGUUUUUAACCUAGGAGGAACACGCCCCGGGGCACCGAGCCCACCGGUUCCUCCCACCCCACCCAACCUGCGGGCCCGGGGCCGUCUUGUUCUCGCUUUAAGUCAGGAGUCACAAACGACACUUUUUUUUCAAUUAAGGAAAAACCCACAGCUCCACCUGCGAACCCGCCAGGAGCGCCUGCAUCUCGCCCGGUCUCUCCUUCGCUGCUGCUAAUGACGUCAUGAGGACUUACGCUACUACUCGAGAACUAUUUUUAUGUAAUUAAUGUAUGCUUUCUUGUUUAUAAAUGCCUGAUUUAAAAAGAAAACAAAGAAAAAGCUUGGCAUAUUUAUCUAUUUCUCUGUGUACCCAUUAGUCCUUUGGCGCCCCUCCCCCAGAAAAAUGUUCAGUACAGGACUGAGCGCAUGCUUGGCCACCCGGACCCCUCUCCUGGACUCCUUGUCCGCCUUCC